UUUUUACUCUACAUACCCGCUUUAUAAGUUUCGACUUCAAAAGCACAUUACCUACGGCACAGUAAUCAGGAUUUUAGCUCUGCAAUUUUCGAACGGGAAAGGAAAUGAUGACCCAGUCCCCUUCCGUAAGCAAUAAACAGUGAUGUUCAGAAGGACGGAAUUCACCUUUACAAGCAAGCCUUUAACACAGCGGCGAGGUUUUCUGCGGCUCUGCACUGUUGUGCCACUAAGUAUCUCUUGUACGAUUGCUCUUAAGGACAGAAAGAUCGGGGGCAAUGGAUGCCACUUGAAUAUGACGUCAACGACCCGCUGAGUUUGAAUAUACAGGCUCGAAGGGGGCAAAGCCGGUUCUAGAGACGCGUCCCGGCACCCAUGGGAGUAAAAUAGCGGAUGACAACCUAAGAGGACAUCGGGGAAAAGUUUCCUUAGCGAACAAACGAUGUUCUGCGAGUGCUUCUUCUCCAAGACCAUUGCUGGCUGUGCUACUGUCGUAUAAAAUUGACUCAAACCGACAAUUCUCUGUUUAUGGAGAUCGUCCUGGAUGGAUUCCGUUCCAGGAGCAUAACUGCGGUUCA